rnacentral:lncRNA from 1 species
GAGAGCCCGAAAACAGUCAUGGUCAGCCCGAAAAAGGUGCAGAGCCGCCCCGACGGGUCGAUGUGCUCCCAACGCUGCUUGGACAGGUACACGACGAUGACGACCGGGGUGGUGAGAAGCUGCCCGACCAGGUCGGUGAGCGCCAGCCAGCCGAUGCACAGCAGGAAGGACUUCUUGCGCUUGCUCUCCCGGCGCCGGUAGCUGCGCGACACGAGCAGCAUGGCCAGUGCGUUGCCCACGAAACCAGUGAGCAGCAUGGUGAUCGGGAAGGCCACGGACACCGAUCCGCAAUCCUCGCCAGACCCUGGAGGGCGCGUGAGGUUGCCCCGCGCCUCGGCGGAACGCUCGGGCGCCCACAUGCCUGUGUAGGAGUGGUUGAGGCGGGUGCAGAAGGGGGCAUCCCCUCCGUAGCCCCGGGUCUCCUUCAUGUUGGCUUCGAGAAAUCCUCCAAGGUACUAUUGCUAUUAUUAUUUCCCUUAAAGGUGGGGUAACUGAGGCCCCAUGAAGUUAAAGAAUGUUCCUGAAGUCUCUCAGCAAUUCUCAAGUCCCAUCUUAUUUGAAGCAUGUAUUCCUG